rnacentral:rRNA from 1 species
UGGUUGUAKUUMAAAGCGGUUGAUAAAAGUCGACCUCGUAAGGACAAUUGAAUGGCCGCGGUAACACUGACCGUGAUAAUGUAGCGUAAUCAAUAGCCAAUUAAUUGUUGGCCAGUAUGAAUGGCGCCACGAAGGCCCCACUGUCUUAAGGAAAUUCCCAGUGAAAUUGAAUUCGUAGUGAAGAUGCUACGUCCAAUUUGUUAGACGAAAAGACCCCGUUGAGCUUUACUGGGGCACUUACACGGCCCCGGCCUUCCAAACUAGGCUUACGAUGCCUAGGGAUUGGCCGAAUUUAAAUGGGCGGUUUAGACUAUGUGGCAGCCCCCCGUCGGGGCAGAUGAAACCCCACUCCCCCAUGUCAAAGGGGCUAACCCCCCCCUUGGGGGGGACAGUGUAAGUAGGACAGUUUGGUUGGGGCGACCGCCUUUUAAAGAGUAACGAAGGUGCGCUUAAGGUGCGCAAAUAAUGACUGAAGCCUGACUGCGAGGGGGACACCCCGAGCAGACACCCCCAAGCCCGCCCGAAGGGCGGCGGCGGGGUGGGCCAUAGUGACCCGUUAAUUUAGAGUGGAAUAGUURACGAUCAACGAAUAAAAGUUACCAC